rnacentral:rRNA from 1 species
AUACGUAGGGGGCGAGCGUUGUCCGGAAUGAUUGGGCGUAAAGGGCGUGUAGGCGGCCUGUUAAGUCUGAAGUGAAAGUCCUGUUUUCAAGAUGGGAAUUGCUUUGGAUACUGGCGGGCUUGAGUGCAGGAGAGGUUAUCGGAAUUCCCGGUGUAGCGGUGAAAUGCGUAGAGAUCGGGAGGAACACCAGUGGCGAAGGCGGGUAACUGGACUGCAACUGACGCUGAGGCGCGAAAGUGUGGGGAGCAAACAGGAUUAGAUACCCUGGUAGUCCACACUGUAAACGAUGAAUGCUAGGUGUAGGGGGUAUCGACCCCUUCUGUGCCGCAGUAAACACAAUAAGCAUUCCGCCUGGGGAGUACGGCCGCAAGGUUGAAACUCAAAUGAAUUGACGGGG